GUUGAAAAAUUAGCGGAUGACUUGUGGCUGGGGGUGAAAGGCCAAUCAAACCGGGAGAUAGCUGGUUCUCCCCGAAAGCUAUUUAGGUAGCGCCUCGUGAAUUCAUCUCCGGGGGUAGAGCACUGUUUCGGCAAGGGGGUCAUCCCGACUUACCAACCCGAUGCAAACUGCGAAUACCGGAGAAUGUUAUCACGGGAGACACACGGCGGGUGCUAACGUCCGUCGUGAAGAGGGAAACAACCCAGACCGCCAGCUAAGGUCCCAAAGUCAUGGUUAAGUGGGAAACGAUGUGGGAAGGCCCAGACAGCCAGGAUGUUGGCUUAGAAGCAGCCAUCAUUUAAAGAAAGCGUAAUAGCUCACUGGUCGAGUCGGCCUGCGCGGAAGAUGUAACGGGGCUAAACCAUGCAC
rnacentral:rRNA from 1 species